rnacentral:rRNA from 1 species
AUUGAACGCUGGCGGCAUGCUUUACACAUGCAAGUCGAACGGUAACAGGGUGCUUGCACCGCUGACGAGUGGCGAACGGGUGAGUAAUGCGUAGGAGAGUGCCGAGUAGUGGGGGAUAAAGCAGCGCAAGUUGUGCUAAUACCGAACACGUACCGAUGCAGAAAGUGGGGGACGUUCGGGCCUGACGCUAUCCGAGCGGGCGGCGUCUGAUUAGCUAGUAGGUGGGGUAAAGGCUCACCUAGGCGACGAUCAGUAGCGGGUCUGAGAGGAUGAUCCGCCACACUGGGACUGAGACACGGCCCAGACUCCUACGGGAGGCAGCAGUGGGGAAUUUUGGACAAUGGGCGAAAGCCUGAUCCAGCCAUGCCGCGUGUCUGAAGAAGGCCUUCGGGUUGUAAAGGACUUUUGUCAGGGAGGAAAUCCCUAGUGCUAAUAACACUGUGGGAUGACAGUACCUGAAGAAUAAGCACCGGCUAACUACGUGCCAGCAGCCGCUGUAA